UGGCUUCAGGUGCCAGUGU
rnacentral:tRNA from 1 species